AUUGAACGCUGGCGGCAGGCCUAACACAUGCAAGUCGAGCGGAUGAAGGGAGCUUGCUCCUGGCUUCAGCGGCGGACGGGUGAGUAAUGCCUAGGAAUCUGCCUGGUAGUGGGGGAUAACGUCCGGAAACGGGCGCUAAUACCGCAUACGUCCUGAGGGAGAAAGUGGGGGAUCUUCGGACCUCACGCUAUCAGCUGAGCCUAGGUCGGAUUAGCUAGUUGGUGGGGUAAAGGCCUACCAAGGCGACGAUCCGUAACUGGUCUGAGAGGAUGAUCAGUCACACUGGAACUGAGACACGGUCCAGACUCCUACGGGAGGCAGCAGUAGGGAAUAUUGGACAAUGGGCGAAAGCCUGAUCCAGCCAUGCCGCGUGUGUGAAGAAGGUCUUCGGAUUGUAAAGCACUUUAAGUUGGGAGGAAGGGCAGUAAGUUAAUACCUUGCUGUUUUGACGUUACCAACAGAAUAAGCACCGGCUAACUUCGUG
rnacentral:rRNA from 1 species